GUGACACAGGCCUGCCUGGCGGACAGCAUGACCUUCAGAUGAUUGUCGCUAAUGAGAAAUUGCAGCUUUGUUAGCAGGAGGGAGAUCAUGAAGCGGAGAUAAAAUUGUAAUGGCGUCAUGGUGUUUAAGAGGUUGAAACUACCACUGUAAAGCACUGUUGCAACCACAGUCUGCAGCCCCGAGGGAAACACUAGAUGCUCCGUUCCUGUAUCACCUGCUGUGAUCAGAAUGAAAGCAGAGAGCUGUUACUCCUGACUUGUGAUUCUAAACCACUUGAAACUCACUACAGAGUUCAUGCCUGCCAGGGCAUCCCACCCUCUGCUGUCACUGCAGCCAGCAGGACCAGCUCUUGAAAAGGGGCGCACCUUGU